UACGUAGGGGGCGAGCGUUGUCCGGAGUUACUGGGCGUAAAGCGCUUGUAGGCGGUCCACCAAGUUUGGGGUGACAGUUGCCGACUUAAUCGGCAAAGUGCCUCAAAGACUGGCGGACUUGAGGGCCACAGAGGGACACGGAACUCCAGGUGUAGUGGUGAAAUGCGUAGAUAUCUGGAGGAACACCGGUGGCGAAGGCGGGUCUCUGGGCAGUAACUGACGCUGAGGAGCGAAAGCGUGGGGAGCGAACAGG
rnacentral:rRNA from 1 species